rnacentral:rRNA from 1 species
GCUCAGGACGAACGCUGGCGGCGUGCUUAACACAUGCAAGUCGAACGAUGAUGCCCAGCUUGCUGGGCGGAUUAGUGGCGAACGGGUGAGUAAUACGUGAGUAACCUGCCCUUGACUCUGGGAUAAGCCUGGGAAACUGGGUCUAAUACUGGAUACUACCUCUUACCGCAUGGUGGGUGGUGGAAAGGGUUUUACUGGUUUUGGAUGGGCUCACGGCCUAUCAGCUUGUUGGUGGGGUAAUGGCUCACCAAGGCGACGACGGGUAGCCGGCCUGAGAGGGUGACCGGCCACACUGGGACUGAGACACGGCCCAGACUCCUACGGGAGGCAGCAGUGGGGAAUAUUGCACAAUGGGCGGAAGCCUGAUGCAGCGACGCCGCGUGAGGGAUGACGGCCUUCGGGUUGUAAACCUCUUUCAGUAGGGAAGAAGCGAGAGUGACGGUACCUGCAGAAGAAGCGCCGGCUAACUACGUGCCAGCAGCCGCGGUAAUACGUAGGGCGCAAGCGUUGUCCGGAAUUAUUGGGCGUAAAGAGCUCGUAGGCGGUUUGUCGCGUCUGCUGUGAAAGCCCGGGGCUCAACCCCGGGUCUGCAGUGGGUACGGGCAGACUAGAGUGCAGUAGGGGAGACUGGAAUUCCUGGUGUAGCGGUGAAAUGCGCAGAUAUCAGGAGGAACACCGAUGGCGAAGGCAGGUCUCUGGGCUGUUACUGACGCUGAGGAGCGAAAGCAUGGGGAGCGAACAGGAUUAGAUACCCUGGUAGUCCAUGCCGUAAACGUUGGGCACUAGGUGUGGGGGACAUUCCACGUUUUCCGCGCCGUAGCUAACGCAUUAAGUGCCCCGCCUGGGGAGUACGGCCGCAAGGCUAAAACUCAAAGGAAUUGACGGGGGCCCGCACAAGCGGCGGAGCAUGCGGAUUAAUUCGAUGCAACGCGAAGAACCUUACCAAGGCUUGACAUUCACCGGACCGCCCCAGAGAUGGGGUUUCCCUUCGGGGCUGGUGGACAGGUGGUGCAUGGUUGUCGUCAGCUCGUGUCGUGAGAUGUUGGGUUAAGUCCCGCAACGAGCGCAACCCUCGUUCUAUGUUGCCAGCACGUGAUGGUGGGGACUCAUAGGAGACUGCCGGGGUCAACUCGGAGGAAGGUGGGGAUGACGUCAAAUCAUCAUGCCCCUUAUGUCUUGGGCUUCACGCAUGCUACAAUGGCCGGUACAAAGGGUUGCGAUACUGUGAGGUGGAGCUAAUCCCAAAAAGCCGGUCUCAGUUCGGAUUGAGGUCUGCAACUCGACCUCAUGAAGUCGGAGUCGCUAGUAAUCGCAGAUCAGCAACGCUGCGGUGAAUACGUUCCCGGGCCUUGUACACACCGCCCGUCAAGUCACGAAAAGUUGGUAACACCCCGAAACCCGGUGGCCUAACCCCUUGUGGGAGGGAGCCGUCGAAGGUGGGACUGGCCGAUUGGGGACUAAAGUCGUAACAAGGAAGCCCGUACCGGAAAGGUGCGGGAUGGA